GGGCCCGCACAAGCGGUGGAGCAUGUGGUUUAAUUCGAUGCAACGCGAAAAACCUUACCUACUCUUGACAUACUUGGAAGCUCUUGUAAUGAGAGUGUGCCUUUUGGAACCAAGAUACAGGUGCUGCAUGGCUGUCGUCAGCUCGUGUCGUGAGAUGUUCCGUUAAGUCGGAUAACGAGCGCAACCCUUACCCUUAUUUGCCAGCGAUUCGGUCGGGAACUAUAAGGGGACUGCCGGUGAUAAACCGGAGGAAGGUGAGGACGACGUCAAGUCAUCAUGGCCCUUACGAGUAGGGCUACACACGUGCUACAAUGGGGAAUACAGACGGACGCUAAGCCGCGAGGUGGUGCUAAUCCUAGAAAGUUUCUCGUAGUCCGGAUUGGAGUCUGCAACUCGACUCCAUGAAGCUGGAGUCGCUAGUAAUCC
rnacentral:rRNA from 1 species